CAAUAGCGUAUAUUUAAGUUGUUGCAGUUAAAAAGCUCGUAGUUGGAUUUCGGUUAAGAGCGACCGGUCCGCCGUUUGGUGUGCACUGGUUGGUUUUAACUUUCUGUAGAGGACGUGCUCUGGGUUUAACGACCUGGACUCGGAGUCUACGUGGUUACUUUGAAAAAAUUAGAGUGUUCAAAGCGGGCUUACGCUUGAAUAUUUCAGCAUGGAAUAACACUAUAGGACUCCUGUCCUAUUUCGUUGGUCUCGGGACGGGAGUAAUGAUUAAGAGGAACAGUUGGGGGCAUUCGUAUUUCAUUGUCAGAGGUGAAAUUCUUGGAUUUAUGAAAGACGAACUUCUGCGAAAGCAUUUGCCAAGGAUGUUUUCAUUAA
rnacentral:rRNA from 1 species